rnacentral:rRNA from 1 species
GAUGAACGCUGGCGGCGUGCCUAAUACAUGCAAGUCGAGCGAACAGAUAAGGAGCUUGCUCCUUUGACGUUAGCGGCGGACGGGUGAGUAACACGUGGGUAACCUACCUAUAAGACUGGGAUAACUUCGGGAAACCGGAGCUAAUACCGGAUAAUAUUUCGAACCGCAUGGUUCGAUAGUGAAAGAUGGUUUUGCUAUCACUUAUAGAUGGACCCGCGCCGUAUUAGCUAGUUGGUAAGGUAACGGCUUACCAAGGCGACGAUACGUAGCCGACCUGAGAGGUUGAUCGGCCACACUGGAACUGAGACACGGUCCAGACCCCUACGGGAGGCAGCAGUAGGGAAUCUUCCGCAAUGGGCGAAAGCCUGACGGAGCAACGCCGCGUGAGUGAUGAAGGUCUUCGGAUCGUAAAACUCUGUUAUUAGGGAAGAACAUACGUGUAAGUAACUGUGCACGUCUUGACGGUACCUAAUCAGAAAGCCACGGCUAACUACGUG